CUCCCCAGGUAUGGCAACUGGGUGUUACUUCCUGCGGGGGAUGCGAUCAGUGAUAAAUUCAGGGUCACGGUGUCUCCCUUGGCGUAACCACCUGAAGGAAAAUCCAUACAAAGAGACAUCAGGACCUUUGAGGCAGAAUUGACGAGUGCCACUUGGUUUUGGAGCAGAGCCCGGACACGGGGCACAUCCCGAUGCAAGAGGGUGCAAAAUACUCCAGGAUGAAGCCACGCCAGGCACAUGGGGGCUCAUUUCGCUCUCCCCAGCAGCAGAUGCUUUUGUGCUUGGCGGCCGAACCCAAAAAUCUGCCUUGGCCUACUGGGAAAUGGGAGCAGAGUUUCCUGGCUGGUGGCGCUCAUUUUUCUUUACGAGCUGACUUUGGAAGAGAGCAGAGCGGCAGCUCAUGGAAACUGGGAUGUCUUUCUCCCCGCUGUCUGCUCCUCCGUCCCGGCAGAUAAAGGUUAGACAUCUGUUUCGGAUCUGCUUUAACCGAAGGACGGACCCGCUUCUGCCGUCCCAUAAAUCAUGCAGAGUGCAGGACCCUGCUAAUUGCUGGGGCUCUUUGUCCUAAGAUGUCCAGCGCAGCCGUGGGCAGGCAGUGCCCACGCUUCCUGCCUUUCCCUAGCGGUCCCUCAGUGCUCUGAAGCUGGACGUGACCCCCACGGGUGAGGGUCUGGGGACUCCCACGUGCACAAAUCUCACUUGGGUACAUCCCCUAUUUUCAGGAGCACCCCGGGUGAAAAGGCACACGUUUCCCUAAAACCUUGACCUCAGAGUUAUGCUUACAGCAUACGGCGUUGCUUCAGGCGUGGCGUUCCUGGAAAACCCACGGAGAUGUGUAUCUGUACAUUUAGGUUAUUUUAGAUUGGCUUCUUGUACCGAUGCAAUAAACUUAAUACCGGCUAAUAAAACAUUUCAGAGCCACUUUGCCUCC
rnacentral:lncRNA from 1 species